rnacentral:tRNA from 1 species
GCUUUUGUGGUGUAACGGUAACACACUCGGCGCGCAUUCGAGAGAUCCAGGUUCGAGUCCCGGCGAUGUGCA